GUCCUGCCCGUCAAGCACCGGCUGGGCGGAGCCAGCUGGAAAACAUCUGCUUCGCCCCCUCGGCGGCGCUCCCUUCUGAAAGCGGGAAGGCGCUUUGGCGGAUUCACAUAGAAAAAAAACCAUACCGUUGAUGACUGCAAAGAUGGAGCUAUGGCUAUAUUUAGAUUGUGUGAAGCUAAUGUAACCUAGUGUACAAAUUGAGUGACACACAAAAGCAUGGCAAUGAGGGAGGGGGCCAGCUAAAUAUAAAGAGAAGAUAUGAGUAUUAGUACCGCUUUAUAAAACCUUAGUAAGGCCACACCUGGAAUACUGCAUCCAGUUUUGGUCACCACAUUACAGACAAGAUGUUGAGACUUUGAAAAAAUGCAAAGAGCAACUAAAAUUAAUAAAGGCCUAGAAACUAAAACAUAUGAAGAACAAGUUGCAGGAUUUGGUUAGUCCAGAGAAAAGAAGGACUGGGGGGGGACAUGAUAGUGUUCCAGUAUUUGAGAGGCUGAAACAAAGCGAAGUGGGUCAAUUUAAUUUCCAAAGCACCAGAAGGCGAGACAAGGAACAAUGGAUAGAAACUAAUCAAGGAGAGAAGCAACCUGGAAUUAAGGAGAAACUUCCUAACAGUGAGGACAAUCCACCAGUGGAACAGCUUUGCCUUCAGAAGUUGUGGUUGCUUCAUCACUGGAGGUUUUUAAGAAGAGACUGGACAGUCACUUGGUAGGGUCUCCUGCUUGAGCAGGGAGCAGGAUUAGAAGACCUCCAAGGUCCCCUCCAGCUCUAUUCUGAUUGAUAAAGGAGCCACAAUAAAAUGACACAGAUUCUCUGACUUUACACAUGCACCCUUGGCCACCAAAAUCAGGUUUUUGAAGGGCUUUUUCAUUGAUUUGCCAUCUUCAUGCUGAACUUUCUGCCCACACCAGGUACUGUUUUUAGCUUAUUCUAAGGUUUCUUACUUUUUAAACUGAAAAGCUCAACAGUCGUCAUGGCUUUAUUUUCCAUUUUUAGCCAUUUUCUAUUUCCGUUUCUGUUGUGUGUGCUAUAAUCUGAUGUUAAGUGGGCUUUUAUGACUCAUGAGGCUGGGUUAGACCUGGAAUAUCCGUUUUGCUACUUAUCCUGUCCACUGAAGUGGGCAAAAUAAUAACUGGUUUCCAAAAGCAAACGCAGAAUAAAAAAUAAAACUUUGUCUACAAACCUGUAAGCAAUAUUAGAAAUAUAGGAAAUGGUCUUAUGCUAGGCUCGAGUACCUUUCUGCUAGCCCAAUUUUUCUCCCCAAGAGGUGCUCUAAAUGUUCCAGAAUUACCCAACCACCAUGGUCCACUGAGAACGGCAGGAGUUGGAGUUCCAGCAUAUCUUCAAGAAAACAGGUUGGGGAAGGAUGACCUAUUGUUUAUCUUAUUUUGGAAGGAGCUUUCUAGGUGUCACAGAAAGAUCUUUCCCAUCACUGCAACUUCAACAUUUGGAAACAUGGCAAUUUGUAUCUGGAGUCUUCUUUAUACAAACAAUAUGCUUUCUUCACACAAUGAAUAACUUAAAACAAAGAUUGAGGACAUACCGUAGCCCCAAUCUGAUUUUUUAAUGAGAUAGAAUAAAUUCUUUUUGACGCUUUUUACUUUAUCUUAUCCUCCAAGAUUUCUGUCCACAGUUUGAAUAACAAGGCGAUUAAGCUAGCUCUGUAACACUUAAAUGACCUUGUGAAUGUAUACUUCUGUUGUUGAGAGAAAAACAUAUAGUCUGUUUUAAUUAUCAUAGACUGAAUUCAUACAUCACUAUGGUUUGUCUGGUUUUGGCUUAAUAUUUUAUAUGAACCCAGCCAAUUAUGCUUGUUCAAUAAAAUGUGGUUACACAAAGCAUGGCUUAGUGUGAAGUGUAAGCUAUGCCAUAGAGUACAGUACUCCUAUAACCAGUCUCCCCUUACCUAACCUUCUGUCAGUCAAAUUUAUUAUCCAUGGUUACCAUACUGCUAGUAGUACAGUAUUGGGAAGUUCAGUGGUGGGUUAUAAAUUUUUAUACUACCAGUUCUAUGGGUGUGCCUUGGUGGGUGUGGCAUGGCUUGGUUGGGCGUGGCUUGGG